UGGAAAGAAAGUCGAAGCCUUUUUCUUGCUUUUAUAAAGCAAAUAUUUUCCUGUCUUGUUCACGUAUGGUGAAGCAUGGAAGUACAUGGCCAGCUUUUCAUAUUCUGAAUGCUCAGCUUACUGAUGGUGCACAGUGCUUUCUGGGCAGGAAGGAGAACACGUUGCACCUCUCUGACCUUGCAAAAGACCAAACUCAUGACAGAUCUUCUUUAGCCCCUCUCACUCUAGAGAGGGGAGAUGGUUCUUCUCUUUUGUCCCUAUGGAAGUAACAGAGGCAUAAGAGGCAAGAGAUGAUACAUUCUCCAUCCGUUGUGUCUCUGCUAUGGCUGCAGAACUUGUUUCUACCAUCAACUUACUGAGAGAAUAUCUAAUGUUAGACUGCGUGUGUAAACACAGGGUUAGUAUUUCACCUCUUGAUGAAAUCCCCAGAGAAGAUAAUGAGCAGCUCCUAGUGAUAAUAGGCUCUUA